rnacentral:rRNA from 1 species
UACGUAGGGACCGAGCGUUGUCCGGAAUCAUUGGGCGUAAAGAGCGUGUAGGCGGCUUGCUAAGUCUUGCGUGAAAUCUCGGGGCUCAACCCCGAGCGGUCGUGGGAAACUGGCAGGCUAGAGUGCGGGAGAGGAGAAUGGAAUUCCUGGUGUAGCGGUGAAAUGCGCAGAUAUCAGGAAGAACACCCGUGGCGAAGGCGGCUCUCUGGUACGGAACUGACGCUGAGACGCGAAAGCGUGGGGAGCGAACAGG